rnacentral:lncRNA from 1 species
AGAUUUUUGGGUAGUUUAGAAAAUUGACAUUGGCAACGCCGCUAACCUCAUUCUUUUGUUUGUUGUUUGUUCAAAAAGCGGCACGCGGCGUAGUACAAGGCUUGAUCAUUUUUUAAGAAAUUUUUGAUUGUUAAUUUUAUUUUUCUGCAAACUAAACAGUUGUUUUUUAUUAAAAAAUAGCAGACAAAGAAAUUAUACCAUCCAGCCCUCCUAUUUAAUUAUUAAAUAAAAGUGUGAAAGAGAUAUCAAGGGCUAUUCUGUUAAAAUGUCAUCCGACCAGUCUAGGCCCUGUUGUGAACCAGAAGGUGUGCUAAGUUGGAUGUUGGAUAUAGAAUGGAAGGAAUAUCAUGGCCGAGAACAAGGCAUAAUUGUAUGUCCCUUGAUGUAGGGGGGCCUGUAAAGGUAAAUAAUUCCUGGAGCCAUCUCGAGGUAUAGUACUCAAGUCGGAGCGAAUCAAUUGAUAGCACGAUGAAAAGAAAUAAUAGCCAGCAUAAAACUGUAAAUAUGUAUAUAACUAGUACUAUGUAGCUAUUUAACUGUAAGUACAAUGUAGCUAGAUAUUUA